GACGUAGGAUGCGAGCGUUAAUCGGAAUUACUGGGCGUAAAGCGUGCGCAGGCGGUUAUGUAAGACAGGUGUGAAAUCCCCGGGCUUAACCUGGGAACUGCAUUUGUGACUGCAUAGCUAGAGUACGGUAGAGGGGGAUGGAAUUCCGCGUGUAGCAGUGAAAUGCGUAGAUAUGCGGAGGAACACCGAUGGCGAAGGCAAUCCCCUGGACCUGUACUGACGCUCAUGCACGAAAGCGUGGGGAGCAAACAGG
rnacentral:rRNA from 1 species